rnacentral:rRNA from 1 species
UACGUAGGGUGCAAGCGUUAUCCGGAAUUAUUGGGCGUAAAGAGCUCGUAGGCGGUUUGUCGCGUCUGCUGUGAAAACUGGGGGCUCAACCCCCAGCCUGCAGUGGGUACGGGCAGACUAGAGUGCGGUAGGGGAGAUUGGAAUUCCUGGUGUAGCGGUGAAAUGCGCAGAUAUCAGGAGGAACACCGGUGGCGAAGGCGGGUCUCUGGGCAGUAACUGACGCUGAGGAGCGAAAGCGUGGGGAGCGAACAGG